rnacentral:rRNA from 1 species
CCCUUAGAUGUCCUGGGCCGCACGCGUGCUACACUGAUGCAUACAGCGAGCACUUCCCGGCCCCGAAAGGCGGCCGGUAAUCAGCAAUAUGCAUCGUGAUGGGGAUAGAUCUUUGGAAUUCUUGAUCUUGAACGAGGAAUGCCUAGUAGGCGCAGGUCAUUACCCUGCGUCGAUUAAGUCCCUGCCCUUUGUACACACCGCCCGUCGCUCCUACCGAUUCGAGUGAUCCGGUGAACCUUUUGGACCGAGACUGCUUGCAGACUUGGGAAAUCAAGUAAACCACGUCACUUAGAGGAAGGAGAAGUCGUAACA